CGCAUCCGCGCCGCAACCCGCAGCCGCCCUGCAGGCAACCGCCCGCAUCCGCGGCAGCGCCGCGGCUGCUUCCAUCCAUGGCGCCGCGGCUUCCAUCAAUCGCCAGCGCGUCCUCCGUACUCCUGUCAUCCGAGGAAAGCCUUCCAUCCAUGGCGCCGUUGCUGCAAUUCCCCCCGCGAUCCACGCUACCUCCAUUGCCCACACGAUCCGCGCUCCCUCCAUUGCUACCGCGAUGCCCCUUCCCAGGAACCCUUCCAUCCAUGGCGUCGUUGCUGCAGGUGCCCCGCAAUCAACUCCAUUGCCGCCACGAUCCCCUUCCACCGACGACACUCACCUUCCAUCGACAAAACUGAUCUUCCUCCAUUCCACCGACGGCACUCACCUCUCAGAUCCCGUGCUCAUCACCAUCGUGCCCCUCGCUCGCCGCCCCCACCUCACCAAGAGCCUUAGCCGUCCCUAGAGAAGACACGGAGGUGCAGUGCCAGUGCUUUCCUCAAGUGCACCUCGGAUUUUCGGUACCGGCCAGAUUGGGACGAAUUCAACAUUCAUCGGCUCCACCAAAACACUGCCACUAUGAUGUGUAUGCUUGCGUCAGGACAGGAGACCCAAAAGUACUUCAUAGAUGAAUGUGACAUUUUCCACAAGAACGAGAUACGAAAUGGCCAAGGACUGCUGACGAUGAUGACGACAUGGCCACCAUCGCUGCCCUCAGGCUGACAUUCUGGCUCUCCAACACAGUUGUCCUCAGGGAGAUAAUUGUACAAACUUUUGGCAUCUCACAUCAAUUUACUCCAUCCAUGAUGAAUCUGAGCAUGAAUGGUGGUGCCAAAAAACUUGAUGGGAAAUCUAUGACAAUGCUGUGGAGAAACAGCUACAAUGGCAUGCAAGCCAAGUUUGCUGCAAGGCAGAUGCCAGAUGAUUGGCAGGAAACAAGUACACUUUUGGCUACAUUAGAGAAGAUUGAGUCUUGGAUAUUUUCUCGCAUUGUUGAGACAAUAUGGUGGCAGGCACUAACUCCUCACAUGCAAAAACGAGUAGAAGGAUCAUCAACUCCAAAGGCUGGUAGAGUGCUAUGUCCUACUUUGGGUGAUCAGCAGUAGGGCACCUUUUCUGUUAACCUGUGGAAGGCUGCGUUUCACGACGCAUUCAACAGAAUGUGCCCCCUCAGUGCUGGCGGACAUGAGUGUGGCUGUUUACCAAUAUUAGCAAAACUGGUGAUGGAGCAGUGUGUAGCCCGUUUGAAUGUUGCCAUGUUUAAUGCCAUCCUUCGUGAAUCAUCAAGUGAGAUACCAACAGACUCUAUAUCUGACCCAAUUGUUGACCCAAAAGUCCUACCAAUUCCAGUUGGUGAUCUAAGCUUUGGGUCAGGCGCGCAGCUGAAGAACUCUAUUGGAAACGGGUCUAGAUGGCUGACAGAUAAUCUUGGCAUAGAUCAUGAUGACUUUGAGGACAUAGGAGAUGUUGAAGACGAAAGAAGAGUUGCAGCUGAAACGAAAUCGUUUCAACUUCUCAAUGAGCUAAGUGAUCAUCUAUUUUUUAGUUUUUCAUAAUUUUCCUUUCAUGGCCUCCUUACAUGUUUGAUUUCCUAUGAUCCAUGAGCUGCCAAUCAUGAUAACGCGGUUUCACUAUGCAGGAGAUGAACAAGGAUGCAGUCACAACUGAUGCUAUCGGCAGUAUCAGAACUUGAUGGUGCUUGUAGACUGUUCAUGGUGCUUGUAGGGAUGAUGUAUGUCUAUGGCUUACUGAGCUCCAACCAACUAUGGCAGGAGCGUUAGCUAGGACAGCAGUCAGUCUAACAAUUGUGGACAAAGUUCAGUCUACCAUACACUGAAGCGCACCCUUGUUGCUAAAGCUGCAGGUGUGAACAACUUUGCUCAGCAGAAUGGAGGAUCAUUGUCACUAGCAGCAAGACCUCGAGCCCAGCACGUUGGGACAACUCAAGAAAUGGCAGUGGAUAUGGACAUAGAAAUUGACAGGCAAAACAAAGCGCUGGUUCCUUUCAGCGACGACAUCACUGAACUGAAUUUUAGACUGAAAGGCGUGAAUCAGUGUGGACACCAGUUGCUGGGCAAGUGAUAUGGAGCCAGAAUUCGGGCAGUUCGGAGACUAUCGCCUUGAUUGCAGAAUUUAAGAACAUUGUUGUUUUACAUGUUUUUUUGCAGUGAAUCAGGCCACACAUGUUGUAUUAGUGAGAGAAUGAUGAUUUAUUUUAUAUUAUUAUGGAUUUCAUAGAUUAUUUU